GCCAAAAGUGCGAAAAAAAUCAUAUAAAAACGUCUGAAAACGAAACUGAUUUAAAAAACAGUAACAGGACGACACAUUAAAUCAGAUUAUAGAGAAUCAUUUAACGGUAGAUGAAUAUUUUAACAAAAUGUAAAGCACCAUAAAGUCUAAGGAAAAUGUGAAUAAAUUUAAUUAUUAAAGAUAUGCCAUCAUCACCGAAAUCCAUAAAUUACAAAACUUAUUUUUAGAUAUACAGACAGCCAUAUAUCAGGUUCCUGUCUUAUUACAAUGAUGUCCAAAACUCUUCCAUACCGUCUCGGACAUUCGUGAAAAUAGAGAAGACAUAACAAGUUUAUUGAAAUGUUGAAAUACGUGCAGAUGUUACGGAAUUGGUGAAGUACCAUAUUUUUGUUUUCAGAAAAAGUACAUAUGUACUUUAAAGUUAUCUGUUUACAUCACAGGAGUAUUAUUGCCUAACACAAAUCGUUUACUGUUGAUGUAAAAUAUUUAUAGUAUAAGAAACA
rnacentral:lncRNA from 1 species